rnacentral:rRNA from 1 species
ACGUACACUCCUACGGGAGGCAGCAGUGGGGAAUUUUGGACAAUGGGCGAAAGCCUGAUCCAGCCAUGCCGCGUGCAGGAUGAAGGCCUUCGGGUUGUAAACUGCUUUUGUACGGAACGAAACGGCCUUUUCUAAUAAAGAGGGCUAAUGACGGUACCGUAAGAAUAAGCACCGGCUAACUACGUGCCAGCAGCCGCGGUAAUACGUAGGGUGCAAGCGUUAAUCGGAAUUACUGGGCGUAAAGCGUGCGCAGGCGGUUAUGUAAGACAGUUGUGAAAUCCCCGGGCUCAACCUGGGAACUGCAUCUGUGACUGCAUAGCUAGAGUACGGUAGAGGGGGAUGGAAUUCCGCGUGUAGCAGUGAAAUGCGUAGAUAUGCGGAGGAACACCGAUGGCGAAGGCAAUCCCCUGGACCUGUACUGACGCUCAUGCACGAAAGCGUGGGGAGCAAACAGGAUUAGAAACCCCAGUAGUCCCAUG